rnacentral:rRNA from 1 species
AUUGAACGCUGGCGGCAGGCCUAACACAUGCAAGUCGAGCGGAUGAAGGGAGCUUGCUCCUGGAUGCAGCGGCGGACGGGUGGGAAAUGCCUAGGAAUCUGCCUUGUAGUGGGGGAUAACGUCCGGAAACGGGCGCUAAUACCGCAUACGUCCUGAGGUAGAAAGUGGGGGAGCUUCGGACCUCACGCUAUCAGAUGAGCCUAGGUCGGAUUAGCUAGUUGGUGGGGUAAAGGCCUACCAAGGCGACGAUCCGUAACUGGUCUGAGAGGAUGAUCAGUCACACUGGAACUGAGACACGGUCCAGACUCCUACGGGAGGCAGCAGUGGGGAAUAUUGGACAAUGGGCGAAAGCCUGAUCCAGCCAUGCCGCGUGUGUGAAGAAGGUCUUCGGAUUGUAAAGCACUUUAAGUUGGGAGGAAGGGCAGUAAGUUAAUACCUUGCUGUUUUGACGUUACCAACAGAAUAAGCACCGGCUAACUUCGUG